rnacentral:tRNA from 1 species
GUAAGUAUAGUUUAAUCAAAACAUCAGACUGUGAUUCUAAAAACAGAGGUUAAAAUCCUCUUACUCACC